GAUGAACGCUGGCGGCGUGCCUAAUACAUGCAAGUCGAGCGACCGGACGAGAAGCUUGCUUCUCUGAUGUUAGCGGCGGACGGGUGAGUAACACGUGGAUAACCUACCUAUAAGACUGGGAUAACUUCGGGAAACCGGAGCUAAUACCGGAUAAUAUUUUGAACCGCAUGGUUCAAAAGUGAAGACGGUCUUGCUGUCACUUAUAGAUGGAUCCGCGCUGCAUUAGCUAGUUGGUAAGGUAACGGCUUACCAAGGCAACGAUGCAUAGCCGACCUGAGAGGGUGAUCGGCCACACUGGAACUGAGACACGGUCCAGACUCCUACGGGAGGCAGCAGUAGGGAAUCUUCCGCAAUGGGCGAAAGCCUGACGGAGCAACGCCGCGUGAGUGAUGAAGGUCUUCGGAUCGUAAAACUCUGUUAUUAGGGAAGAACAUAUGUGUAAGUAACUGUGCACAUCUUGACGGUACCUAAUCAGAAAGCCACGGCUAACUACGUG
rnacentral:rRNA from 1 species